CCUAUGCUGCCAAGAAAAACCUCGUAGUUAGUUGGCACGGGACCCGUACCCUAAACCGACGCAGGUGGUCAGGUAGAGAAUACCAAGGCGAUCGAGAUAACUGUGGUUAAGGAACUCGGCAAAAUGCAUCCGUAACUUCGGGAGAAGGAUGGCCCUUUCUGGUGUAGGACUUUUCGUUCGAAGCUGGGGAGGGUUGCAAAAAGCAGGCAGAAGCGACUGUUUACCAAAAACACAGCAGCGUGCUAAGCCGCAAGGCGCUGUAUACGCUGUGACGCCUGCCCGGUGCUGGAAGGUUACGGGGAAAGGUUAGCCGCAAGGCGAAGCUUUGAACCUAAGCCCCAGUAAACGGCGGCCGUAACUAUAACGGUCCUAAGGUAGCGAAAUUCCUUGUCGGGUAAGUUCCGACCCGCACGAAUGGCGUAACGAUUUCUGCACUGUCUCAACCACAGACUCGGCGAAAUUGAAGUACGAGUAAAGAUGCUCGUUAACUGCGGCAGGACGGAAAGACCCCAUGCACCUUUACUCUAGCUUGAUGUUGGGUUUUGGUACAUAUUGUGUAGGAUAGGUGGGAGACUAGGAAGCAUUGGCGCCAGCCAGUGUGGAGUCAACGUUGAAAUACCACCCUGUGUGUGCCGGGACUCUAACCUCGACCCGUUAUCCGGGCUGGGGACAGCGUCAGGUGGGGAGUUUGACUGGGGCGGUCGCCUCCCAAAAUGCAACGGAGGCGUCCAAAGGUUCCCUCAGGCUGGUUGGCAAUCAGCCGCUGAGUACAAAGGCAAAAGGGAGCUUGACUGCGAGACCAACAAGUCGAGCAGGUACGGAAGUAGGGCUUAGUGAUCCGGCGAUUGCAUGUGGAAGCGUCGUCGCUCAACGGAUAAAAGGUACGCUGGGGAUAACAGGCUAAUCUUGCCCAAGAGUCCAUAUCGACGGCAAGGUUUGGCACCUCGAUGUCGGCUCGUCGCAUCCUGGGGCUGAAGCAGGUCCCAAGGGUUGGGCUGUUCGCCCAUUAAAGCGGUACGCGAGCUGGGUUCAGAACGUCGUGAGACAGUUCGGUCCCUAUCCGCCGCAGUCGCAGGAGAUUUGAGGAAGGCUGUCCCUAGUACGAGAGGACCGGGACGGACGCAGCUCUGGUGUGCCAGUUGUUCUGCCAAGAGCAUGGCUGGUUUGCCACCUGCGGAACGGAUAAGCGCUGAAAGCAUCUAAGUGCGAAGCCGGUUCCAAGAUGAGAUCUCCCACAGAGUUAAUCUGGUAAGGCCCGUGGUAGCCCACCACGUUGAUAGGCCGGGUGUGUAAGAGCUGUAAGGCUUUCAGCUGACCGGUACUAAUCGGCCGAGGGCUUGGAUC
rnacentral:rRNA from 1 species